CUCCAUGAGGAAUCUCCACAGAGAGUCUGCUGCAGUACACAAAAUGUCUAAAACCUUUGAUAACAGUUGAACAGGCGGAUUAUCCAGGAGGAACAUAAGUAAGAGAGAAGACAGCAUGUAUUUCUGAACAUACAUUGUUGAAGACUCUUUAAACUUCAGUUAACCCAGGAAGAAAAAGAUGUAUCUUUUUAUAUUUUGACACAUAAGGGGGAAAGGGAGUCUAUUGGCUGAAAUUAAUGCAUGUGCACUUAAACUCUAUUUUUUCACACUUUAGUCCACACUCAACUGGGAACACAUAGCAAAGCACAGAGAGAAAAUGGAAACAGUUUUUGGCCAAAUUAAUAAAUCAAUCAUUAAACCUCAUCACCAGCAUUAAUUAAAUGUGGCAAUUGUUGUCCUGCUCAGUUGUUGAAACAUCCACCUUCAUAAUUUGCUCCAGUGGUGGAAUCUGAAAGAUCCAUCAUUUAAGAAAUCUUAUUUAGUG